rnacentral:rRNA from 1 species
UACGAUUCGCCUUGAGUUGAUCAUGGCUCGAACGAACGCUGGCGGCAUGCCUAACACAUGCAAGUCGAACGAAGGCUUCGGCCUUAGUGGCGCACGGGUGCGUAACGCGUGGGAAUCUGCCCUCAGGUACGGAAUAACUCAGGGAAACUUGAGCUAAUACCGUAUAAUGACUUCGGUCCAAAGAUUUAUCGCCUGAGGAUGAGCCCGCGUCGGAUUAGCUAGUUGGUGAGGUAAAAGCUCACCAAGGCGACGAUCCGUAGCUGGUCUGAGAGGAUGAUCAGCCACACUGGGACUGAGACACGGCCCAGACUCCUACGGGAGGCAGCAGUGGGGAAUAUUGGACAAUGGGCGCAAGCCUGAUCCAGCAAUGCCGCGUGAGUGAUGAAGGCCUUAGGGUUGUAAAGCUCUUUUACCCGGGAAGAUAAUGACUGUACCGGGAGAAUAAGCCCCGGCUAACUCCGUGCCAGCAGCCGCGGUAAUACGGAGGGGGCUAGCGUUGUUCGGAAUUACUGGGCGUAAAGCGCACGUAGGCGGCUUUGUAAGUUAGAGGUGAAAGCCCGGGGCUCAACCCCGGAAUUGCCUUUAAGACUGCAUCGCUAGAAUUGUGGAGAGGUAAGUGGAAUUCCGAGUGUAGAGGUGAAAUUCGUAGAUAUUCGGAAGAACACCAGUGGCGAAGGCGACUUACUGGACACAUAUUGACGCUGAAGUGCGAAAGCGU